CAAUUAAAGCGAUUCAGCGGGUUACGAUUGACGGAGCGAAGCGACGUCAAAGCGUAUACAAAGUCGAGUCGGUUUAAGGAUACGUUCGUUGGGUAGGGGAGCGUUCUGUAAGCCUGUGAAGGUGGCCUGUGAGGGUUGCUGGAGGUAUCAGAAGUGCGAAUGCUGACAUAAGUAACGAUAAAGCGGGUGAAAAGCCCGCUCGCCGGAAGACCAAGGGUUCCUGUCCAACGUUAAUCGGGGCAGGGUGAGUCGACCCCUAAGGCGAGGCCGAAAGGCGUAGUCGAUGGGAAACGGGUUAAUAUUCCCGUACUUGGUGUUACUGCGAAGGGGGGACGGAGAAGGCUAUGUUGGCCGGGCGACGGUUGUCCCGGUUUAAGCGUGUAGGUGUGUGUUCCAGGUAAAUCCGGUUCACUUUAACACUGAGGCGUGACGACGAGGCACUACGGUGCUGAAGCAACAAAUGCCCUGCUUCCAGGAAAAGCCUCUAAGCAUCAGGUAACAUCAAAUCGUACCCCAAACCGACACAGGUGGUCAGGUAGAGAAUACCAAGGCGCUUGAGAGAACUCGGGUGAAGGAACUAGGCAAAAUGGUGCCGUAACUUCGGGAGAAGGCACGCUGACACGUAGGUGAAGUGAUUUACUCAUGGAGCUGAAGUCAGUCGAAGAUACCAGCUGGCUGCAACUGUUUAUUAAAAACACAGCACUGUGCAAACACGAAAGUGGACGUAUACGGUGUGACGCCUGCCCGGUGCCGGAAGGUUAAUUGAUGGGGUCAGCGCAAGCGAAGCUCCUGAUCGAAGCCCCGGUAAACGGCGGCCGUAACUAUAACGGUCCUAAGGUAGCGAAAUUCCUUGUCGGGUAAGUUCCGACCUGCACGAAUGGCGUAAUGAUGGCCAGGCUGUCUCCACCCGAGACUCAGUGAAAUUGAACUCGCUGUGAAGAUGCAGUGUACCCGCGGCAAGACGGAAAGACCCCGUGAACCUUUACUAUAGCUUGACACUGAACAUUGAGCCUUGAUGUGUAGGAUAGGUGGGAGGCUUUGAAGUGUGGACGCCAGUCUGCAUGGAGCCGACCUUGAAAUACCACCCUUUAAUGUUUGAUGUUCUAACGUGGACCCGUUACCCGGGUUGCGGACAGUGUCUGGUGGGUAGUUUGACUGGGGCGGUCUCCUCCUAAAGAGUAACGGAGGAGCACGAAGGUUGGCUAAUCCUGGUCGGACAUCAGGAGGUUAGUGCAAUGGCAUAAGCCAGCUUGACUGCGAGCGUGACGGCGCGAGCAGGUGCGAAAGCAGGUCAUAGUGAUCCGGUGGUUCUGAAUGGAAGGGCCAUCGCUCAACGGAUAAAAGGUACUCCGGGGAUAACAGGCUGAUACCGCCCAAGAGUUCAUAUCGACGGCGGUGUUUGGCACCUCGAUGUCGGCUCAUCACAUCCUGGGGCUGAAGUAGGUCCCAAGGGUAUGGCUGUUCGCCAUUUAAAGUGGUACGCGAGCUGGGUUUAGAACGUCGUGAGACAGUUCGGUCCCUAUCUGCCGUGGGCGCUGGAGAACUGAGGGGGGCUGCUCCUAGUACGAGAGGACCGGAGUGGACGCAUCACUGGUGUUCGGGUUGUCAUGCCAAUGGCACUGCCCGGUAGCUAAAUGCGGAAGAGAUAAGUGCUGAAAGCAUCUAAGCACGAAACUUGCCCCGAGAUGAGUUCUCCCUGAGACUUUAGGUCUCCUGAAGGAACGUUGAAGACGACGACGUUGAUAGGCCGGGUGUGUAAGCGCAGCGAUGCGUUGAGCUAACCGGUACUAAUGAACCGUGAGGCUUAACCUUACAACGCCGAAG
rnacentral:rRNA from 1 species